CAAUUAGUGACUUUUAGGACUGGCCUUCAAGAAGUAAUUCUGGGCUAAAAGUCCAGUCUUCAACUUUAAGGAGCUGUCCCAGGGGAGCUGGUCUUCCUGCACAAAUUGCUAAGCAUGAUAUGUGCUCAUUAAUAAUUCCAAGUCUUUAUGCUGCUCUUCUACUUGUUCAUUAAUUUUUGUCAAUUAAGUUGAAAACUAAAAUUUUAAAGGAGUGACUUUUCAUUGGUUAUAUGAAACUGCCAAAAAACGUUAUAGUUCUCCAACAUAGUAUGUUUUAUCCUACAAUACCUUCUAAUAUAAACUGUAAACACACACGCGCCCACACGUUUCUUACUUUGGAAUCACAAAGGGGCAAGAUGAGGGAGAGCUGACAGAAAAGUUAUUGUUCCUACAAUGGGCCCUUGUUUGCAAUGUGCCACGCUCCCCAGAUUCUCCUCCUGAGACUAGGCCAUGGAUUUCACAACCAGGAGAAGUGGGACUCAGAAGGGAUAAGUAUGUUUCUCUAUGACCUGGUUGCCGGAGUGGACCUUAAUUAAAUGGAAAAGCGCAAUCAAGCAUCUGCAUGGAAAAGAACUGCUUUGAAAUGGCAACCGGGUGUCCAGCCCUCAUCCGCUCACAGAUUCAAAGAGAUUCCUAAAAUCUCUUCUAUAUCUAAAAAGGAAGAAGGAGAAAAAUGGAAGGAAGAAGAAGGUGGGUUAUUCAAGAGCGGAAAACAUGGUUUUGGGAGAAAACCCGUCCACUUUCUAAAAAAUGAGAAAAUGCGUAAACAUUCAAUCCUCUCAAAGAGUGGGUUUCAAGAGAGGCUAGUUG
rnacentral:lncRNA from 1 species